rnacentral:rRNA from 1 species
AACGAACGCUGGCGGCAUGCCUAACACAUGCAAGUCGAACGAACCCUUCGGGGUUAGUGGCGCACGGGUGCGUAACGCGUGGGAAUCUGCCCUUUGCUUCGGAAUAACAGUUAGAAAUGACUGCUAAUACCGGAUGAUGUCCUCGGACCAAAGAUUUAUCGGCAAGGGAUGAGCCCGCGUAGGAUUAGGUAGUUGGUGGGGUAAAGGCCUACCAAGCCGACGAUCCUUAGCUGGUCUGAGAGGAUGAUCAGCCACACUGGGACUGAGACACGGCCCAGACUCCUACGGGAGGCAGCAGUGGGGAAUAUUGGACAAUGGGCGCAAGCCUGAUCCAGCAAUGCCGCGUGAGUGAUGAAGGCCUUCGGGUCGUAAAGCUCUUUUACCAGGGAUGAUAAUGACAGUACCUGGAGAAUAAGCUCCGGCCAACUCCGUGCCAGCCGCCGCCGUAAGAC